CUCCCCGACUUGCCCACCCCCCAAGGUCCUAUGUGUAUGUUUGUGUGAUGAUGUGAGGGAGCAGGAGGAGAGAAAUAUGCGGGGAUGGGGAGGAAUGGCUGGUUGGGCUUGUGCAUGUUGAAAUUCUGCAAGCAGAGUAAAAUUAUUUAAUUAGAUAUUAUUUUGACUUUAAUUGAACACAACUACAAAAGCAUAAUAUUAUUUUCACAAACAUUUUUGUAUGCCAAACACACGCUGAGCUAUCAUAUAUAUAAGACAUGAGAUAUGUGUGUACACAAAUAGGGACACUUGCCUCCUUUUUGUUCAUGCAUUUAGACGUUCUUCUGGUAUUUUACUCCAUGUUGGUUUUCCGUUAAUCCUUUGAUGCAUAAUGGUCACUACAGUGGUACUACUGUACUCAAAAUUGUAUUCAUUUAUUUAUUUAUUGCUACGAAGCACAGCUGUUGAUGACUUUAUUGCAUUUGAGCUCCUAGAUUUGGACUUCAGUAAGUCAAGCCAACAUAUUUUCAUUCACUGAGGUGGACAUGUAAUAAAUUAUUUGUAAAAUAUUAAAUGGUACGAAAAAUAUUGGUUGCAAUUUGUUUCAUUCACACCUAAAGAUGAAUGAAAAAAUUGUUUAAAAAAUGAUGGUUGAAGAUUUCAUGAUUCAUGCAUCAAAGGGUUAACUAAUGCGGCCGCCGCUUUGCAAACCGGCGUAACAUUUAUUUCCGUAUUUCCGUAGAACAAGGGUGGUAACUAACACACCUCAGACACGUGCACCUGCGUGGAAAGGUUGUGGACCAGUUGGAUAAAUGAGACAGGAUGACGCCGCGUUUCAUCAGCGCCGUUCCUGAGCCCAGAACACCUCUGGAGCGUCAUCAUUAAAGAUUUGUUGUGCGGCGAGCCAUGACCAAGCUGUCCUGUGAUGUCUGCCGUGCCAGCCUGGUGAUGGAUGCUGCAUCUGCCUGUGAUGACCAGAGCUACCAUUUGCUGACUCUGAAGAACAACGGGGGUCUUGUGGUCCCAUCUGAAGGUACUGUGAGGGUCAUCAGAGCAGCAGAGUGGGCAAUUCGCCAGGUUUCAGUGGGCAGACGAUCACAGCCCAUCAAACCACUGGAGGUCAUCUACAUUGUGCGCAAGAUGAUCGGGUCAGAAGAUGUCUUUUUGCUUGGGGAGCACAUCAGUGAGACACAGUACGGAAUUGAGUCUCACUCCCGUACACUGUUGACAUCUAUUGUCUCCAGCCUGUUCUUUAAGCUGAGGAUGCACCACAUUGCAAGAUUAGCAACUCUUAGCUUUCAGUGUGACAGCGUGAGACAGAAGCUCACAAAAGCUUCCCCUUUCAAAGGUCAGUAGGAAACCAUAAUGUGCUUUAGCAUCUGUCUGUAGAUCUGUUAUUUUAUAAUCAAAAACAUGUUUAAUCUGUAAUAAACAAGUUUUUCAUAACUGUCA